AUGGACGAGAGUCUGAACCAGCCAAGUAGCGUGCAGGAUGACGGCCCUAUGGGUUGUAAACUGCUUUUAUAGGGGAAUAAAGUGGACUACGUGUAGUUUAUUGUAUGUACCCUAUGAAUAAGGACCGGCUAAUUCCGUGCCAGCAGCCGCGGUAAUACGGAAGGUUCGGGCGUUAUCCGGAUUUAUUGGGUUUAGAGGGAGCGUAGGCCGUAGAUUAAGCGUGUUGUGAAAUGUAGAUGCUCAACAUCUGACUUGCAGCGCGAACUGGUUUACUUGAGUGUGCACAACGUAGGCGGAAUUCGUCGUGUAGCGGUGAAAUGCUUAGAUAUGACGAAGAACUCCGAUUGCGAAGGCAGCUUACGGGAGCACAACUGACGCUGAAGCUCGAAGGUGCGGGUAUCAAACAGGAUUAGAUACCCUGGUAGUCCGCACAGUAAACGCUGGAUGCCCGCUGUUGGUUCAUUAGAGUCAGCGGCCAAGCGAAAGCAUUAAGCAUCCCACCUGGGGAGUACGCCGGCAACGGUGAAACUCAAAGGAAUUGACGGGGGCCCGCACAAGCGGAGGAACAUGAGGUGUAAUUCGAUGAUACGCGAGGAACCUUACCCGGGCUUGAAUUGCAGACGAACGAUUCAGAGAUGAAGAGGCC
rnacentral:rRNA from 1 species